GUCUAGGCGCGCGGAGCAGGUGCGAGCCACUGUAUGCGGCUGUUGGGGCUGCUGUGGUAGGCGCGGGGCACUCGCCCACCCCUUCUCCGGGCCACUCUCAGGCUCUGGCGUGCGGGGACAUGUCGGUGGUGACUGGCGGUGGUGAGGCGGUGGGUGGCAGUGCGAGUGUCUUCUUCCAGAUUCCCUGCGGUGGCACUGGCGGCAGCCCAGGAUCUAGCAGCAGCUCCGGCUCCUCGAGGGAGGACUCAGUGCCGGUGACUAUGGUGGCCACCGCUGGGCAAGUGCAACAGCAGCAGCGACACCACCAGCAGGGAAAAGUGACAGUGAAAUAUGACCAUAAGGAGCUUCGUAAGCGGUUGGUGCUGGAAGAAUGGAUCGUGGAGCAGCUGGGUCAGCUGUAUGGCUGCAAGGAAGAAGAAAUGCCAGACGUAGAAAUUGACAUUGAUGAUCUUCUUGAUGCCAACCGCAAGGAGGAAAGAGCUUCGAAAUUACAGGAAGCUCUCGUAGUCUGCUAUAAACCAACAGAGGAAUUCAUCAGAGAGCUGCUCUCCCGAAUAAGAGCAUGAGGAAGCUGAACCCUCCGCAGAAGAAGAGCGUAUGAUUUUGCUACAGGGUAAAAUUCUCUCAGAGAUGAAGAAAGCAACCUGGAAUUUGGACCCCACAGAUACUUUUCUUAAAAAAUAAAUAAAUAACCAUAGUUGUCUUUUACAACAACAUUUUUUUGGUGUGUAUGUGUGUGUGUUGGGGGGAGUAGACAUUUAUUCAAAAGUGUUUCUUCUUUUGUUGUUUUUAAAGGGUUUUCAUUACUGUAAUAUUUUAAUGGCAAAGCUACUACAACUUGGACUGUAGCCCAACCAAGAACUAUCAAAGCAGGUACAUCCACAGGAUGGACAAGGCCAGGUGUGUUUUCUGUCAGGACUCAGCUGUAAUUUAGGAUCUCGCAAUGCAGGGAAGAUGGUUUUCAUAUGGUCAGUUUGGUAAGACAUUUUAAGUUGUACAUUUGACUUCGAUGUCAUGCUUGGAUCUCAUGCUUGUAUAUAUCUACAGACACUAAGUUAAAACUAGAGAUGUGAGCUUUGUAUCAGGUUCAUGGAAUAAACCUGUGCUUUCCUAUUAGAUGUGGUCACAACACACAUGCUUUCAAAAGGUCUCCAGACAUUCUUCAGACAAAUGUCGUCCACCUUCAGCAUCCACUUUCUCCAACAAAGUGAAAGAAUUCGAAUUCGGUGUGUUCGUCAUUACAGUGAGCCAUACUGCACAGGCGUUGAGUUGGUCAAGGGCUUAAUUCAUAAAUUUUAUUAUUUCAUUGGUUGAGAUGCUUCGCCAGGUCAUGUACUUAUUGCCUCAUUGUGGUUUUUUAAAGUUUUAUGAACUCUUAAUUUUGAAAACCAGCCUGAUUGAUAAAGAAAUACCUACACUUCCUAAACAGAGCUUUGCAAUCAAAAAAGGAAGCCCCAGGUAGCAACAUGUUCUCUGCUUUCAGUGUAAUACACUGUAUUAGCUCUGUCCAUGAAAGCAGGUCAAAAGGAAACCAAUGGGUUGAGCUUCCUUUUUAGAAGCAGAUUCUGGCCUCUUCUGUGCCAGUACCAUCAGUCCAGAAGUGUGAACUGAGUGUUGCGAAAUGUAGAGAUGGAAGACCCCUCAAGACCUUUGUUGGUUUAGAAGUCUGGUUUCAUCUCUGGUUUCUCUCAGUGGCUCAUGGUCCUGAUUGUGACCUGAUUUCCGUGUUAGGAGCUAGGUCUGAUGACCUACCCUAACCCUACAGCUACAUACCAGCUCUUUGAGUAGAAUUAAAAUUCAUAUGGGAUGUAGGCAGGGUAAAAAUUGAGUAAAAGCCCUUCCUUCCUUCCUUCCUUCCUUCCUUCCUUCCUUCCUUCCUUCCUUCCUUCCAGGAUGCCCCUGCUGCCUCCCCCUGGAAACCCUGCCUGCCGUGAAAAGUCUCCAGGUGGCCCUGUCUGAAAACAGGGACCAGGCAAUUUAUAUCAAGGGUGCUUUGAACAUAUUUUAUUUUUUAAAAGAACUAUGUUUGUGAAUUUUCCGUAUACUGGCAAGCUUUUGAAAAUGUAUUUAAUUUUGUAAUGUUUACCAAUGAUUUAUUUACAAGCUAUUUACUCAAAUAAAGGGAGCUGCUUACAA